AUCAAACUGGCAUUCGGUAGAUAGAACCUACCGAACGAGGGGAACAUUCACAUGUAACCUGCUGCAUCAUACGAACGGUGGUUUUCGUGUAAUUAGACGUGAACGGAGACCGGCUCUUGCUGCUGAUUUCAUGGAACUCUAAAUCGGAUACCUCCACAUGGCGAGCCGGUCAAACUUCCACACGAUGCGACACGGAAACUACCGAACGGAAAUUUGUGAGAUUUGGAUAU